rnacentral:rRNA from 1 species
CAGUCGCCGCGGUAAUGCGAAGGGUGCAAGCGUUACUCGGAAUUACUGGGCGUAAAGCGUGCGUAGGUGGUGGUUUAAGUCCGUUGUGAAAGCCCUGGGCUCAACCUGGGAAUUGCAGUGGAUACUGGGUCACUAGAGUGUGGUAGAGGAUAGUGGAAUUUCCGGUGUAGCAGUGAAAUGCGUAGAGAUCGGAAGGAACAUCUGUGGCGAAGGCGACUAUCUGGCCAACACUGACACUGGGGCACGAAAGCGUGGGGAGCAAACAGGAUUAGAUACCCCUGUAGUCCCUGUCUCUUAUACC